GAGAAACCGGCAGUUCUUAAAAGCUGAAGAAUUCCAAAAGGAACUCCGUUAUUUUGACAGGAAAAUACAACAAACAAUAUUGUUUACAUGUAGCGCGUCAAUUCCGCAUGUUAUGAAAGACUCUCUCGCUCUGUAUCUUUCUUUGCGUGCGUGUAUGUGAGAGAAAGCGACGGCGAGUCGUGCGCCUUCACGCCAGAGUUUAUGGAAUUACUGAAGCAUCAGUCUGGAUCCAACCCUUAAAAAGAUCCGAGAUGACCAAACACCUGAGAAGAGAUGGCAACACCUCAGAGGACCACGGAGGAUGCCAACCCUCAGACAACACAUAAUUACCAAGUUAAGAGAUCGUGGGACGGAGACGGGAGAGAGUACACACCUCUGAUGAUGAGUAUAGAGACGGUCCACAAGGAGAUGAUGACUGGAAGAGACGUUGGAGCGAGGAGCAGAAGGUAACUCUGGAGGAGACACAAAAGAAAUUGAACACCGAUGGCUACCGGCACCGAAAAUUCCUUAUCUGGGAUUCUGGCUGUGGUUGUGUGCCUAUUUCAAUCCCCCCAAGGAAUGGAUCCUGGGAACGUUUUGGGCCUCCAUUUCGAAGUAAACAUAUUACAGCAGUCCCAGCACUCAAUCUCAGUGCAUCAAACUUUGGAGAUCUGCAAACCUUGCAAACACCCUCACAUACUGACACUCUCCAAAGUUUGAAGCAGUACAUUAUCUGCAGGACUCCAACCAAGGCAAAAGUGAAAGGAUGGCAGCAGGAUACAGAUAUAAAAGCGGAGUCAGAAAAGGAACUAAGGACUGGAAACCAAAGCGAAAGAAACCUGUCAGUCUGGAGGCUCUGGGGAGCAGCAUGUCGCCUGAAUCUGCUGCCAAUACCUGGAAAAAAGUAGCUUAUCACAGUGCGUUCUGGUUUGCUGUGUCCAUAUAAAGGAUAUACGUGACGCUGGCUUGGAAUUUGGCCAAAACGAGGUAUCUUAUGAGGCAGCAUACAGACAGCUCACUAUGUUUCGGAACGCAGCAUACGUGUCAAAAAACUGGAGCCAAUUUCCAUAAAGUAUAUUGUGUUUAAUCCUGCUGUCACAGCUGAGGAUGAUUUUGCUGACAUUUGAAUAUAGCCUCAAUUCUUUACCUUGCAGCCUAAGCCUGGCUGUGGAGAACUCAAAUAUUGAGCGUAGCUACCUUUAUCACAGCAUUCGAUCGAUACAUCAUUGCACAGCUGUCAGAUAAGUCAUAUCAGCCACGCAGAUUCCAGUCGGCCCGUCUGUAUGCUUCCCCUUUUCUAAACUGGAUUGUUUUCUCUGGCCCCUUUUAAAAUGGGAAAUAGCUUUGGUAGGAACGUUCGAGCGGCUCUAACAAAAGGUGAACCGUCAUCUAGGUAAAGGUUAUCAGACGUGGCGCCCUGCAAAGUUUCUGGCACCCAUCCUGAGCGCCGGCCAAUUCCAGGCUGAAUAAGCAACACAAAAUGUGUCUCCUUGCUGCAAAUGCCAGACAAUACUCCAGUGCCAAUUAGUUUGACACUGUUGUAAAACACGGGCAAUGUAUCCUGGAAGAACCCUGCUUGCAUCAUGCUUCAUGCAUUGGUAAUGACAAAAGAACUUAAAUUGCCUUUCUCUGCUGCCCUUGAAAUUUUAAAUUGCUUGCUCUGUCUCCUUCUAUUUGUCUUUCAUGGUUCCUGAUCCCAGAGUCAUACUCUCUCAACAAUAUAGAGUGUUGUAAAAAUGGCCGGAUACCUUUAGAAAUCUUGGUUUAGAUUUGAUUUAUAGAACGCAGAGAUAUUUUUUUGGCAGAAAAGGUGUGUUAAACUAACUGCUAUAUAUAAAAAAAGCAUCUAUGUGUGGUCCCAAGGAUUUUUACACACCUAAAAACUGUCAUUGUCAACA